rnacentral:misc_RNA from 1 species
GUGAAUCAUCAAAUCUUUGAACGCAAAUUGCACUCUCUUCGGAGAGUAUGCCUGUUUGAGGGUCAGUAUUAAUAAAAAUCGGUGUGUUGCUUCUUUGUGACGCUCCGGAGUCUGGGUCAUCUUAAUAUCCUUUAGGUUUUAAGAGGCUUAAAAUUGACUUUUUUUCCGCUUUUUAGUUUUCCUUAAUUUCUUUUUUUUUUUCUUCUUUUUUAUUGCUCAAAUUCCUUUUAAUUGCUCCCUU